UCUUCCUACGGGAGGCAGCAGUGGGGAAUAUUGCACAAUGGGGGGAACCCUGAUGCAGCGACGCCGCGUGAGUGAAGAAGUAUUUCGGUACGUAAAGCUCUAUCAGCAGGGAAGAAAAAAGGACGGUACCUGAGUAAGAAGCCCCGGCUAACUACGUGCCAGCAGCCGCGGUAAUACGUAGGGGGCAAGCGUUAUCCGGAUUUACUGGGUGUAAAGGGAGCGUAGGCGGUUUAGCAAGUCAGAAGUGAAAGCCCGGGGCUUAACUCCGGGACUGCUUUUGAAACUGUUGAACUAGAUUGCAGGAG
rnacentral:rRNA from 1 species